UAGGGAAUCUUCCGCAAUGGGCGAAAGCCUGACGGAGCAACGCCGCGUGAGUGAUGAAGGUCUUCGGAUCGUAAAACUCUGUUAUUAGGGAGGAACAAAUGUGUAAGUAACUAUGCACGUCUUGACGGUACCUAAUCAGAAAGCCACGGCUAACUACGUGCCAGCAGCCGCGGUAAUACGUAGGUGGCAAGCGUUAUCCGGAAUUAUUGGGCGUAAAGCGCGCGUAGGCGGUUUUUUAAGUCUGAUGUGAAAGCCCACGGCUCAACCGUGGAGGGUCAUUGGAAACUGGAAAACUUGAGUGCAGAAGAGGAAAGUGGAAUUCCAUGUGUAGCGGUGAAAUGCGCAGAGAUAUGGAGGAACACCAGUGGCGAAGGCGGCUCACUGGACCAUUACUGACGCUGAGGUGCGAAAGCGUGGGGAGCAAACAGG
rnacentral:rRNA from 1 species